GCAGGGCUCUUAUCGAUAAUCCCUCGCUGCGCUCAGUAUUUGCUCGCAGGAGCUGCAGCAGGGAUCGGCACUCAGUUUUCCCAGGCACCGUGCUCACAGGCAGCACCGGAUCCCCCCCCCCCCCCUUUUUUUUGGAUCAAACUGCAACAGGAACUGCUGAAGUGUGUGGGAAAGGGGAGAAAGGGGCAAUUAAGGCAAGCUCCUGCCAUUGCCUACAUAGAUGGUUUGUCCUCUGAGACACCACCUCCUGAAGAAAACAGCACCAUUGGUUCAGAAGGCCCAAUGAGGCCCUCAAGCUAAAUACCAGGACUGCCAGACCCAGGGGAACCAUCUCACCCAGCACAACACUGGAAAACCAAGCCCUACCUGGGCAUUAUAUUAGGACUUCUCUAACAUCCAUAGGAAGGACACAUCCCAGUACUUCCAGUCUGCUUUCACACUGGCAUUACCACUCUCUACCCUGUGUUCGCAGAGAUUUUCUGUGGAUCCUGAGAGUCUGGCAGAAGAGGAUAGAGUGAAUUUCACAUUACGGAGUCACUAGGCAGUGCACGUGUGAGGGCACUGAAGAUACAAGGCAGUUCAAAGUUACUUAUUAUGCUUCUUUUUUCUUUACGCCAGAUUCGGAACUGCAAAUCUGGAGCCGUGGGCAGAUCCCAGCACUCAUUGCUAACACUGGACAGAAAUAAAACAGGAGUUCCUCCUGGAGGAAGAGAAGCCAUCCAUCUGUGCCCUGGGCUAAAGGCAGUGUUUGUAAGAAAUGGCCUUACCAGUUUAUCUUCCUUAUGUCCAUAUCACAACUCUCUCAAAUUAUUUUUCUGCUGCUAAAUCCCCCUGUGGUUCUGGGUCACUCACUGAAAGUCAAACCAAGAGCCUGCUUGUGGUAGAGCACAGGCAUGGGGAUUGUUUGCUUCCAGAGUACGGCAUCACUGCACCUAGGGCCUUGCGUGAUUAAUUGUGGGAAGUGGCAUCUUUGUACAAACACUUUUAAAGGAGAAUUUGAUUAAACUUAAAAGGUAUCUUCUAGGAAUAUUUGUACCAGAGAGCCUUGAUCAUGCAAGGAGGAGAGAGAACUAGCCAUGCAACAAAAGGAUAUUAGCUUAAAGAAGAACAUUUAAUUAACUGCUUUCCCCCCCCCCCCUCGGUUACAUUAAUAACAGCAUGACGAAGAUACUUGGUUUGAAUUUUUUAUUUUUAAAAGGCAGAACAUUAACAGCACAGCAUACUGAUCAGAGGUGUAAAGUUACUUUGACAUCAGAAGAGCUGUCCCUAAAGUUGCAUUGGAAAGGCCAAAAAUUAUAUUAAAUAGAUAGGAAUAAAGUUUUCAACAUAAGUGAAUUUUGGCAGUACUGACCUCAACUGUUUCUUCAAGAGAAACGGGACACAGGGCCCAUAAGAACAGCAAUUGGGUCCAAUGAUUUUUUUCUCCCAGUACAGGUAUAUUUCUAGAGUUCUUACGAGGUACCAAGUCGCAGGAAAGCCAGCUCUGUUAUCAGAGGCAUAUUUCAGCAAGCAACUAAAAUUUGGGACCCCCCUGAGGAUGUUUGUUUAGAAACUGUAGACGUUUCUAGCUCUAGCCCAGACUUCCCACUCUAUCUUGUGGCAGGACACAGAUUUAAUCCUCCUUCAGGAGGAAAGAACACAGGACAGGAGUACGGACCAAUAAAUUCAGUAGUGGUGGAGAUGGACAAGCCUUUGGGACGUGCCAGGCUGCAGUUUGGGUAAGCUUGACGUCCAUUAACUACUGAAAUUAAAAGAAAUAGAUUCCUCCAAGCCAAUCCUUCCUGUGAUGGAUCUAUUUCAUCUUAUGCAAAGAAAGAUGGAGAAGACAAAUUAAAUAAAUAAAUAAAUAAAAACAACCACCGGCACAAACAGUACAAAACCCAAAGCAUCAGAGAUCUGUGGAAGCAGUCACAAGGCUUGCUGAUGUUCCUGCGAACGCCCUUCCCAAGCCCUCCCUGCACCAGCCCGAGGCCCCAGAGCUGCUGCAUCCCAAUGGCAAGCAGCCCAGCUGCUGCAGGCUGCAGUCCAACGCAGAGCGAGGCAACCGGAGCAAGGCAAGGCUUCCCCAAAGCCAUUCCUCCACCCAGAGCAGCAAGUACAAAAUCCAGACCAGGGUGCCACUACAGAACUGCUUGGCCAAAGGCACCUUUCUCUUAGUCUCCC